rnacentral:rRNA from 1 species
UCACCUCUAGCGUUACUAGUAUUAGAGGCACUGCCUGCCCAGUGACAUCCGUUUAACGGCCGCGGUAUCCUGACCGUGCAAAGGUAGCAUAAUCACUUGUUCUCUAAAUAAGGACUUGUAUGAAUGGCCACACGAGGGUUUUACUGUCUCUUACUCUCAAUCAGUGAAAUUGACCUUCCCGUGAAGAGGCGGGAAUAAACAAAUAAGACGAGAAGACCCUAUGGAGCUUUAAUUAAUUAAUCUAAGAAAAACUACUACUAAUCAAAAGACUUAAAACAAUUUUCCAAUAGAUUAGCAAUUUAGGUUGGGGUGACCUCGGAGUAUAAAACAACCUCCGAGUGAUUUAAAAGCUAGACCUACUAGUCAAACUAACAACUCAUGAAUUGAUCCAAUUCUUUUUGAUCAACGGAACAAGUUACCCUAGGGAUAACAGCGCAAUCCUAUUUAAGAGUCCCUAUCGACAAUAGGGUUUACGACCUCGAUGUUGGAUCAGGACAUCCUAAUGGUGCAGCAGCUAUUGAUGGUUCGUUUGUUCAACGAUUAAAGUCCUACGUGAUCUGAG